CAGUCGAACGAACUUCCGUUAAUUGAUUAUGACGUGCUUGCACUGAAUGAGAUUUUAACACGAAGUGAGUGGCGGACGGGUGAGUAACACGUGGGUAACCUGCCCAGAAGCAGGGGAUAACACCUGGAAACAGAUGCUAAUACCGUAUAACAGAGAAAACCGCCUGGUUUUCUUUUAAAAGAUGGCUCUGCUAUCACUUCUGGAUGGACCCGCGGCGCAUUAGCUAGUUGGUGAGGUAACGGCUCACCAAGGCGAUGAUGCGUAGCCGACCUGAGAGGGUAAUCGGCCACAUUGGGACUGAGACACGGCCCAGACUCCUACGGGAGGCAGCAGUAGGGAAUCUUCCACAAUGGACGCAAGUCUGAUGGAGCAACGCCGCGUGAGUGAAGAAGGGUUUCGGCUCGUAAAGCUCUGUUGUUAAAGAAGAACGUGGGUGAGAGUAACUGUUCACCCAGUGACGGUAUUUAACCAGAAAGCCACGGCUAACUACGUGCCAGCAGCCGCGGUAAUACGUAGGUGGCAAGCGUUAUCCGGAUUUAUUGGGCGUAAAGCGAGCGCAGGCGGUCUUUUAAGUCUAAUGUGAAAGCCUUCGGCUCAACCGAAGAAGUGCAUUGGAAACUGGGAGACUUGAGUGCAGAAGAGGACAGUGGAACUCCAUGUGUAGCGGUGAAAUGCGUAGAUAUAUGGAAGAACACCAGUGGCGAAGGCGGCUGUCUGGUCUGUAACUGACGCUGAGGCUCGAAAGCAUGGGUAGCGAACAGGAUUAGAUACCCUGGUAGUCCAUGCCGUAAACGAUGAUUACUAAGUGUUGGAGGGUUUCCGCCCUUCAGUGCUGCAGCUAACGCAUUAAGUAAUCCGCCUGGGGAGUACGACCGCAAGGUUGAAACUCAAAAGAAUUGACGGGGGCCCGCACAAGCGGUGGAGCAUGUGGUUUAAUUCGAAGCUACGCGAAGAACCUUACCAGGUCUUGACAUCUUCUGCCAACCUAAGAGAUUAGGCGUUCCCUUCGGGGACAGAAUGACAGGUGGUGCAUGGUUGUCGUCAGCUCGUGUCGUGAGAUGUUGGGUUAAGUCCCGCAACGAGCGCAACCCUUAUUACUAGUUGCCAGCAUUCAGUUGGGCACUCUAGUGAGACUGCCGGUGACAAACCGGAGGAAGGUGGGGACGACGUCAAAUCAUCAUGCCCCUUAUGACCUGGGCUACACACGUGCUACAAUGGAUGGUACAACGAGUUGCGAAACCGCGAGGUUUAGCUAAUCUCUUAAAACCAUUCUCAGUUCGGACUGUAGGCUGCAACUCGCCUACACGAAGUCGGAAUCGCUAGUAAUCGCGGAUCAGCAUGCCGCGGUGAAUACGUUCCCGGGCCUUGUACACACCGCCCGUCACACCAUGAGAGUUUGUAACACCCAAAGCCGGUGGG
rnacentral:rRNA from 1 species